ACCAAAAUGGCUGAUAAAAGUAAUAAAUUGUAAAUUUAUUCAUGAAUAAAAAUUCUUUUGGUA
rnacentral:tRNA from 1 species